rnacentral:rRNA from 1 species
CGCCCUUGGGGAUUUUCCGCAAUGGGCGAAAGCCUGACGGAGCAACGCCGCGUGAGGGAUGAAGGCCUCUGGGCUGUAAACCUCUUUUAUCAAGGAAGAAGAUCUGACGGUACUUGAUGAAUAAGCCACGGCUAAUUCCGUGCCAGCAGCCGCGGUAAUACGGGAGUGGCAAGCGUUAUCCGGAAUUAUUGGGCGUAAAGCGUCCGCAGGCGGCCUGACAAGUCUGCUGUUAAAGCGUGGAGCUUAACUCCAUUUCAGCAGUGGAAACUGUCAGGCUUGAGUGUGGUAGGGGCAGAGGGAAUUCCCGGUGUAGCGGUGAAAUGCGUAGAUAUCGGGAAGAACACCAGUGGCGCAGGCGCUCUGCUGGGCCAUAACUGACGCUCAUGGACGAAAGCCAGGGGAGCGAAAGGGAUUAGAUACCCCUGUAGUC